GCCUCUAUGGAGAUAAGCUCUCUUAUCUGAAGGCGAUCCUGAAGGCGAUUUUGGGGUCUCUUUGGCUUCCUGUGUUUCUCCGUCAGUCCGAUGUAGCCGACGGAGGUUCUUGGCUACAAUUUUUUGCUCGGGAUGCAUUCAGUUUGGCUGUUCGGAUUGAAUGGUGUGACCAUAUUGAAUGGAGUGGAGUGUUGUUCAAGGAUUGGUUGUGGAAGGAUGGAAAAGAUGGAGAAUUCUGUUGUAUUUUUGGAAAAUGAUUGUUUGAACAAGUUCUUAUCUGUUAAGGUGAAUUCUACUUUACUAAGCAUGAA